rnacentral:rRNA from 1 species
UGGAAUGGUUUAUGUUCCAAAUGAUUUAUCGCCGUAGGAUGGGACUGCGGCCUAUCAGUUUGUUGGUGAGGUAAUGGCCCACCAAGACUAUUACAGGUACGGGCUCUGAGAGGAGUAGCCCGGAGAUGGGUACUGAGACACGGACCCAGGCCCUAUGGGGCGCAGCAGGCGAGAAAACUUUGCAAUGUGCGAAAGCACGACAAGGUUAAUCCGAGUGGUUUCUGCUAAAGAAACCUUUUGUCAGUCCUAGAAACACUGAUGAAUAAGGGGUGGGCAAGUUCUGGUGU